AAGUAUGAGUCAAGACAUCCUGCACCAGCAGCACUCCACUCUCAGUGGCCGUCUGGAGUAAACAAAUAGCACCAGCACACCCAAAAAUCCUGUGCAGUGGUUUAGUGGCUUCUCGGUUUACCCACAGCCCCGCUGUACAGUAGGUAUUACUGACUCUGGUCCCAAAUGCCUUCCAGGAAACCACAUAAGCUCACAAUGUGAUUGUGGGACAGGAGCCAUGGGGAUGUUCCAAUGUGGACUGAACCUAAUGAUGGUGACCACAAGUGUCCCCUGAUGUCUAGCUCUCUGCUGCUUAUAACAUACUGAAGAUCAUGUGACCUGUCUACCUUUGUCAGUGUUUGGCUUGCAUUGACUUUCCUUCAGCUCACGUUAUGCUGCAGCUGUAAAAGUGUGUGCAUCUCACAUUCCUUCUUCUCCCUUUUUUCAAAGUAAAUCCACUUAUUGGAAAACAGAGGACAGUGAGUCUCACCUUUUGUCCAGGCCUUUCCAAUUUCACCCUGCAACACAGAGGAGGGGAGGAGGGAAUAAGAACAGAGUCAGUUUAUCGGGAAUGAAGCUGGGUGGAAAACCAAAGUGCAGGAUCCAGUUGAGUCUGGCACCCAGCAACACUAUAACAUCAGCCUGCAAUGUAGCUCUGUAACAGAGAGAGAAAUGCAUCACACCAGUCCAUCAAAAAGAGAUUUUGAAAAGACCAUUUAGAUACAUAUGCACACCUGGACCUGGCUUCAGAAACACAGUUAGGGUGGUCAUCCGGUAGUGCUCCUUUCCCCAUAGGUGUGGGAAGGAAAGGGAUCCUAGUCACCUCCACCAGCUCCCUGAGCUCCUUCUCUAGCCUGGCAUAGUCUGGUCCUGCACGCAAGACGCAGCAAGAUGCCCUUCAUUCAAACAGUUCUAUUCUGUUCACCUUUGCUGAUGAUGAUCAGAGGCCUCUGAGCCGCUUUGAGCAGCCUGACAGCCUGUGUGAUCACAGGAGGAGCAGGACAGAAACAAACCUAAGAGAAAAAUUAAGAAACAUGCAAUGGCAGUUUGCACAUUUCAAUAUGCAAAAGAAACUAUAAGUGAUCAAUAAGUGAUCACGUCAUAAAAUACAGCUGAUUAGGAAGCUCCCCAUUACUAUGAUUAGUGUUUAAGUCUACAUAAAACUCACCUGACACAGGCCCGGUCUAUUUUGGCAAUCACCAUGUCUCCAGCUAUGUCUAUGUAGGACGCUUCUGGACGGCCAUAAAUGCUGCUCCUUACAGCCUGACAAAAACACAAACAUUCCAACUAAAAUAUACAAAUACAAUCUUAUUUAAAAGAUUAAUAAACACUAUAACAGCAUCUUAAAUGACAUUGCAUAGUACAUAGUAUAUCUGGCAUACAUUAG
rnacentral:lncRNA from 1 species